rnacentral:tRNA from 4 species
GCGGAAUUGGUAGACGCGCUAGCUUCAGGUGUUAGUGUCCUUAGGAUGUGGGGGUUCGAGUCCCCCCCCUCGCACCA